AGCAUACUUUUACAGAGGUUUUAGUGUAUUUAGAAAAAAACAUAUAUUUUUUUAAACAUGUACAUUAAUUUUAAUAGGCUAACAUUGCAAUUUCAACAUCAUAUCAUUGAACUUGCAUUAUAUAUUGAUUUCACAAAGUUAGUCCACAUAAAUUUGUUAGUGUUUAUAUUCAAACAACACACGUGACGGACCUGACUAAACCUCAUUGGUUCUUGGGAUUCAGUACGUCACAUUGGCUUCCUGAUUCAGUUGUUCGAUACACAACGUGCGUGAUCGUUGGUAAAUGUGGAUUAAAAGUUGAAACUAAAACUGUUAAAUAUAGUGAUCAUCAGAGGACUUGGCUGAAACAACGCGAUUCACAUGGAUUACUUCGGCGAUGUUUUUUAUUGCUGUUGCGAUUAACUUUUUGAAAUGUGAGCAGUUUUUAAGUAGGUUAUCAAGUGGAUCUGACAUCGAGGGGAAAUAUACGUUUCUUGGAUUUCAUUAAAGUACAUCGGUUUUUGUUUGAAGAUGAAUGAGAGAACAUAAGGGUAAGUUAAGUGAUGACAGAUUUUUGCUUUUUAUUUUUAGUGAACUAUUAAAUAAGUAGAACUUUUAGUAUUACAGUAUGUCUUAAUUUUAACCCAGCUUCUUAAAGCGUGUAUGUUGUGUGGCUUUUGGAACAUAACGUUACAUUUUUUUUGUGAGUAAAGUUAGGCAUUUCAUUUCUCUUGUUGUAUUUCAGAAAUCAUAACAGCCUGUCUUUUUUUAGCACAGCGGCAUUCAAAUUGACCAAUCAGAGCCGAGAAUAUCUAAUAAGUCGAAGUAGAGAUGAACAGAUGAAGAUACAGCCCGUAAAAAUACUUAUUCUUGGUGAGUGCCAUGUAGCGACGGAUCAAACGGACACUCAUGUCAAGCUUGAUGAGGACACAGUCAAAGCUUUAAAAGACCUUGUGAUUAAGUCUUCAGUGUCUGAAUGGCAAGAAGAAGUGACCCUCCACUUAAACGUGACAUUUAAACUGCUCUGUGUUUUGGUUCAGCCAUUUGUAGGUUUAUCUCGAGUUAGUUCAAAUGCACUUCUGCAUUUGUCCAGUAACUUUUUGUUUAGAGAAUUACAUCAUUAUGAUUAUAUAAUUAUUCAAUGGUUGCAUAUUCAUAGUGUACUUUUCAUAUUGAUGUAUCAAUGUUCCACAAUUUGAUAAAAGUAGCUCAUUGCAUUUCACUGAUCUUUGUUUUAUAUUGUAAAAUCAUUUCAAUAGCAGUAAAUACAUACUUAGUUGUUUCUUUAACAUUUAAUUAGUUGUUAAUGAUGGAAGAAACCGGUUCGUAUGUAUGAAUACAGAAUAGGUAUCAUUUUAGAAUGAGUUAAAACAUGUUUUGGUGGCAAACAUGCAGGUAAAAUAGUACAUGUAUAACAUUCUAAUAGUAAACUUGACUGUAAUUCAAAUGUCACAUACAGUACAUUAGAAAUGAUUUAUUUUAUGUAUACAAAUGUGUGGGCAAUAUAUUAUUAUUUCAUUUU